UGUGUCAUUCAUUAAAGAAAUUUCGAGUAAACAACCGGCUGAAGGUGCUACACAUAGGUUAUUAAGUGAAGAAGUAAUCAUGUGUGAAAAAACGGAUUUUGAAAAAAGAGAUGGAAUGAAAUUAAAAUAACUUCGUUCAGCUGCUGUUACAACGUAAGUAAAUGAGGCCGGGUACGAUAUACUAAAGUGGAGAGCAGCAGAGGAUAAGUAAGGAGAAGGGCAAAAGCCAUGGAUU